ACAAAGCCGCUCACAGUACAUCUCUGAAGUUAACGCGCUCAGAUUUUAACUUUUCAACCUGUGCCGUGCCACAAACUGGGUCACUGAAAACCGCGGAAGUUUAUUCCCCCCCGACCAGGGGGGGCUGCGCCCUCAGGGAGCUGAGCGGUCCCCGUGAGGCCCCUUCGCUGCCUGCACAGUUCAGCUGUGCCGUCCCUAGCGCGGCAGUCCCUGGACCUGGUGUGCAGAGGAAUCGUGGUAAGAAAUGUGCACACAUCAUCCAGGCAGACGGUCCCGUGAGUCUGUCCAACAGAAAAGAGGAAGGCGAGGCGGAGUCCUGAAGGCGAGGCUUGCAGAGGCGGGAGAACCAGGCAGAAGGCCACGGGCCUGCCGAGCUCCCAGCAGCGACGGGGGCGGCGCCCUCAACACGCCGGCGCCCUAGGAAGGCCGAGUCUGUGUUCGCGCUGCCUGCGGUGUGUGGCAGCUGCGCGCUCCUUACCUGUGGGGCAGAGUUGGCCGGAGCCACUGCCUGAAGAAACUCGGCUCUGUCCUCCGUUCCGGGGAGCGGAAUGCGGCCAGUGGAGAUCUUUGUAAAGAAGAUGCUGAAUGUGGAUGUAGAAAAGAUGCAGACCCUGAGGCUGAAGAGGGAGGAAGCUGGAAACUCCGUGCGGGUAACUGAAUGCUAAGGCUGCUUCCUGGCCUCCAGCGGUGUCUGAGGAAAGGAGCAUAGCUGCAAAUCCAAGGAUACACAAAGGAGCCAUGCUGCCAAGUAAGAGCCCGUCUUCCAUCCAUUGCUCUCAAGCACUAUCUACCAGAUCGCAGCCCAAACUACAACAACAACAAAAAAGUCACUCUGCCACUUCUCCCUGCUGAUAAACCAAGGGCAAGAAUUCAACCACAAAGACCCUUACAGAGCCUUAGCCCUCUGAAAACUUCCGGAUACAAAGCCAACUGACUAUGCUAGAUUACCAUCACAGUUAAAGGAACCCAGCCUUCUCAGAUGGGAAAAAAAUCAGAAUAAGAACUCUGGCAAUUCAGAAAGCCAGUGUCCCCUCACCUCCAAACAGGCCCACUAGGUUCCCAGCAAUGGUUAAUCAGUCUGAAAUGUCUGAAAUGGCAGACAUAGAAUUCAGAAUCUGGAUGGCUAGGAAGCUUAUCAAGACCAAGAGAAAGUUGAAACUCAAUCCAAGGAUGCAAAGCAAUUCAGUAAAAUGAUUCAAGAGUUGAAAGACUAAGAAGCCGUUUUAAGAAAGACCCAAAAUUGAACUUCUUGAACUGAAAAAUUCGCUACGAGAAUUUCAAACUACAAGCAGAACUAUUAACAGCAGAAUAGACCAAGCAGAGAAAAGAACCUCAGGGCUUGAAGACAGUUAAUUAAGUCAACUCAGUCAGGCAAAAAUAAAGAGAAAAAAUAAAGAAAAAUGAACAAAACCUCUGAGAAAUAUGCAAUUAUGCAAAGAAACCAAAUCUAUGACUCAUUGGCAUUCUUGAGAAAGAAAAAUAAUAAGCAACUUGGAAAGUAUAUUUGAGGACAUAGUCCAUGAAAAUUUCCCUAAACUCAUUAGAGAGGUUGACCUGCAAAUCCAAGAAAUAUAGAGGACCCUAGCCAGAUACUAUACAAGACAUCCAUCCCCAAGGCACGUGGUCAUCAGAUUCACUGAAGUGAACACAAAAGAAAACAUCUUAAAGGCAGCAAGAAAGAUGGGGAAUGUAACUUACAAAGGGAACCCAUCAGGCUAAUAGCAGACCUUUCGGCAGAAACCUUAUAAGCCAGAAGAGAUUGGGGGCCUAUUUUUAGCAUCUUGAAGAAAAAAAAUUCUAACCAAGAAUUUCAUAUGCUGCCAAACCAAGCUUCUUAAAUGAAGAUGAAAUAAAAUCCUUCUCAGAAAAGCAAAUUCUGAGGGAGUAUAUUUAAACUAGACCAGACUUACAAGACAUCCCCAGAAGUGGACCUGGUGAGGGAGUCCUCAGAUCCUCAGGUCCCCGGUGAGGGGGACCUGGUGAGGGAGUGCUAAACAUAGAAUUGAAAGAGCCUGCUACCACAAAAGACACUUCAGACCAUAGCCCACAAGAACUAUAAAGCAACUGCGUAAUUAAGUCUACAUAACAGCCAGUUAACAACACAAUGACAAAAUUAAAAUCAUUCCCAUCAAUAGUAACCUUGAAUAUAAAUGGGCUUAAUGCCCACUUAAAAGUCACAGAGUGGAAAGCCUGAUAAAAAGACAAGCCCCAAAUGUCAGUUUGCUUCAAGAAAUCCAUGUCACAUAUAAUAACACCCACAGGCUCAAAGUAAAAGAAUGGAGAAAAUUCUACCAUGCAAACUGAGAGGAAAAAAGAGCAGGAGUCACUAUACUUAUAUCAGAUAAAACAGACUUUAAAUAAAAAAUCAAGAAGGACAAUAAAAGGCAUUACAUAAUGAUAAAGGGUACAAUCCAACAAGAAGCCCUAACUGUUCUAAAUAUAUAUGCACCCAACAUUGGAGCACCCAGAUUCAUAAAAUAAGUUCUUCUUGGCCAACGAAAAACCUUAGACAAACACAAAAUACUAGUGGGAGGCUUGAACAUCCUACUGACAGCGUUAGAUCAUCAGGGCAGAAAGUUAACAAUGAAACUCUGGAUUUAAACUUGACACUUGACCAACUGGAUCUCAGACAGCUACAGGACACUACACCCAACAACCAAAAAAUAUACAUUUUUCUUGUCUGCACACAGAAUGUAUUCUAAGAUCAACCACAUGCUUGAUCAUAAAAAGUCUCAAUAAAUUCAAAAUGAUUGAAGUCAUACCAAAGCACAUUCUUGAAUCACAGUACAAUAAUAGUAGAAAUCAAUAUCAAGAUUGCCUCAAACUAUACAAAUACAUGAAAUUAACUAACUUACUCUAGCAUAACUCCUGGGUCAACAUCAAAAUUGAGGCAGAAAUCAAAAAAAUCGUUUGAAAUUAAUGAAAAUAGGGACACAACUUACCAAAAUCUCUGGAUGCAGCCAAGGCAGUGUUAAGAGGAAAGUUUAUAGCCCUAAAUGUCUUCAUCAAGAAGUUAAAAAAAUCUCAAAUUAACAAUCUAUCUUUGGAAAGGAAGAAACUAGGUCAACUAAGGGAAAGGAACUAGGGAGGAGAAAAUCCAAAACUAGCAGAAGAAAAACCACUGAAAUUAGAGAAGAACUUAAUGAAAUUGACAUGUAAAAAUCCAUACAAAAGAUCAAUAAAACCAAGACUUGGUUUUUCAAAAAAAUAAAAUCGAUAGGCCACUAGCCAGUUUAACAAAGAAAAAGAAAGAGAAGAUCCAAGAAAGCACAAUCAGAAAUGAAAAAGGUGGUUUUUUUUUUUAUCAGUAUCAUAACUGGUCCCACAGAAAUACAAAAGACCUUCAGAAACUAUUAUGAAUAACUCUAAGCACACAAAUUAGAAAAUCUAGAGGAAAUGGAUACUUUCCUGUAAGCACACGAUUUUCCAAGAUUGAAUCAGGAAAAGACUGUUAACGUGAAUAGACCAAUAUCAACUUCUGAAAUGGAAUCAGUAAUGAAAAACCUACCAACCAAAAAAGCCCUGGACCAGUUGGUUUCCCAGCUGAAUUCUACCAGACCGAAAGCAAUCCAACACAAAACUACAUGACUCAGAAAAUAUUGUAUAAAUUGUAGUUUAUCGUAGAAUUGUUUAAGGGCUCAAAUCCCUAGAGAUUCUAAUUCUGUUUCCUCUAAUUACCCCUCCUUCCUCACCUGCAUUUACAGAGAACACACAUUGGGCAAAAUAUGUGUCUGUCCUACUGGGAAAGUUUAUCAACUCUACAUCAUAGAACUGAGAACAAAUGCGGGGAGAGCUAAUGUUUUACCAAGAUGAACUUAACCAAACAAAGAGAUAGAAAUAAAAUUCAAAGCCAAGAGCCUUACGUAUAGAUAAAAAUGGAGGAAUGAGAACAUAGCAUUUAUCCAGGAAUCAUGAGUUAAUCAUGUUACCAGGCUUUAGGGCAAGGGGCUGGGUGAACAGUCACUAUAAUAUUACAUGCAUAGUUCUUUGAAAAUGUCAAGGAAAAGGCCGGGCGCAGUGGCUCACACCUGUAAUCCCAGCACUUUGGGAGGCCAAGGCAGGCAGAUCACGAGGUCAGGAGAUCGAGACCAUCCUGGCUAACAUAGUGAAACCCUGUCUCUACUAAAAAUACAAAAAAUAAAAAAUUAGCCAGGCGUGGUGGCGGGCACCUGUAGUCCCAGCUACUCAGGAGACUGAGGCAGGAUAAUGGCAUGAACCCAGGAGGCAGAGGUUGCAGUGAGGCGAGAUCACGCCACUGCACUCCAGCCUGGGUGACAGAGCGAGACUCUGUCUCAAAAAAAAAAAAAAAAAAGAAAAUGUCAAGGAAAACUAUUUCCCAUGGAUUUUUAACUGCUUGAAUUCAGGGCAAAGAAAACAAGAAAACUUGAGUGUAAUAUUAACAAAGACCCUUAAAAAAGAUGUUAUAUAAAAAGAAAAAUCACAGUCCAGUGAAAAAUACAUGAAAAAUUCUAAAUAACAUUUUAGCAAACAAAAUCUAGUGAUUAUUAAAAGUGUAACACAAAAAAGGGAGAUUUUUCCCAAGAAUGUAAUAGUAGUCAAACAUUUUAUCAAGACAUUUAAAAAUAAGCAUAAAAAUAGAUGUCUGAGUGCUAUUUAUAAAAUUCAAGAUCUAUUCCUCCCAUCCAAAUACUAACCAGGCCUGACCCUGCUUAGCUUCAUGAGAUCAGACAAGAUCAGGCGUGUUCAGAGUGGUGCAGCCAUAUUCAAGAAGAACUAAAAAGUGUAAUAAAAUAAGAACACAAGACUAUCACUGAAAAGAAGUUCACAAUUUCAUGCACACACAUGAAAAAGUUAUAGGCCAAAAGCAAUAUAGACAUGAGAGUCUAGGGGAGGUUAACAGCAUCCAGUCUGGAGUCCGAGUACUUGAGAGUUAUUCUAAGUUUCUCAUUUCUCUGUGAUCUUGAGCAAGUUAUGAAAUUCUCUUUGCCUCAAUUCUUUAUAUUGUUAAAUCAAGUUUAGACUAAAGCUGCCUUUUAACGUAUUUUAAGUUCAGCCUAAAGGCUUCUCUGUACAUAGUGAACUUUAACCUAAAUGAAGAUGUAAACAGACUGAAGCCUACUUUUGUGCCAAUCACCAAGUUUUGGCCAAUCAAGGGCUAACUGUUCAAACUAUGUUCAAAUAAGGCAAAUGCCUGCCGAGCUGCAACCAAUUUGGUUGUUUCUGUACCUCACAUCUGUUUUCUGCACGUCACUUUCCUUUUUCUGCCUGUAAGUCUUCUACCACGUGGCUGCGCUAGAGUCUCUGAGCCUACUCUGGCUCAGGAGGCUGUCUGAUUCACAAAUUGUUCUUUGCUAAAUUAAACUCUUAAAUUUAAUUCAGCCAAAGUUUUUUCAUUUAAUAGGUGGCAUCAGAAGUGAGAUCCAAAGUAGAUCCUCUGAUGACCCCCAUGAGUGCUGAGUGACUAAGCAAGGUACCCACUGGACCCACUGAGGACUAAGCUCUGAUAUUUUUUAUCUUGCUCAAAUUCCUAUCUAAGGGGUCGGAUUGGAUCUGAUAAUUAGCUGGCUUGGAUCCAGUUAUAGGCCUCUUAUGUCUGACUGGGACAGAAAGAAACCAGUAGUAAAUGGCAAUAUUGCAGGGGGUGUAAAAUUUGGCUUUUGGAAAUUCAUGGGGAUUUUUCUAUUCUCCUCUUUGUUUCAUUUUUAUUGCAGGCUUAGAUAGGGAAAAAAAUGAUUAGCCAAGUUGAUUAAGGGAACCUGAUCUCCAAAGCCAAUAUUUCAGGUAAAGAUGGAACCUUUAGUUUUGGAAGAACUGAGUACCUUCUGGCUUAUACAUGCUGUGAACCCCAAAUAUUUGAGACAGGCCUCCAUUAAUAUAGAAAGUUUAUUUUGCCAAGGUUGAGGAUGCGCACCUGUGACAGCCUCAGGAGGUCCUGAUGACAAGUGCCCAAGGUGGUCAGAGCACAGUUUGGUUUUAUACAUUUUAGGGAGACAUGAGACAUCAAUCAACAUUUGUAAGAUGAAUAUUGGUUAGGUCUGGAAAGCCAGGAGGGGGCUUCCAGGUCAUAGGUAGAUAAGAAACAAAUGGUUGCAUUCUUUUGAGUUUCUGAUGAACCUCUCCAAAGGAGGCAAUCAGAUAUGCAUUCAUCUCAGUGAGCUUAGGAGUGACUUUGAAUUAGAAUGGGAGGCAGGUUUGCCCUAAGCAGUUCCCAGCUUGACUCUUCCCUUUAGCUUAGUGAUUUUGGGGCCCCAAGAUUUAUUUUCCUUUCACGAUGCAUAAGUAUGAGGCCUCAGAAGCAGCAAAGUCUUACAGAAAUGGUGAAAUCUUACUAAAGAUAAUUUACCAUGGAAGGUUCCAAAUAAACAACACUGCACUGAAGAAAUGCAUUUGAAAAUGAGGCCUCCUGAAUUAGUCUCAUCUAGGGAUGCCUAUUGAUAUGCAGAAGCUUCUAAAAAGAUUUCAAUCUUUUUAUUUAAAGAUUUUAUGAAAGGCAAAUAAAAAGCUUAAGAAACUAAUUGAUAAGAAAAAUUAAAUCUGCUAAUCUUUGCUUAGUUACUAUUCCACCCUAAAGGUGGAAAGAAAGCUAUCCUAGAUAAGGUAUUUAUAAAAGUUAGGCCGUCAGGUAAAAUAGGCUUGCUUCUUGUUCCGACCUAUCCAUGCGGGAGGCCAGCCAUAGAGGAUGCUUUUUUGACUCUGUUCCCUAAUGGGUUCCACCCUGAACUCAGUAAUUUUAACUAAGAAACAGUGGUUACAUUAAAAAGGACACCCUAUUGAAAUAAAAUGCACCUUUCUGGAAUUUAAUUGGCUACCUUGAAACUCUUUUGUAAAGGAAAUUUACAUCUAUAAAGGAAAUCUCAAUUUGUAGGGAUGUCUGCCAAUGUACAAUAGAAACUCUAACCUUUUUUUAAAUUUAAAUAAUCAGUAAUGCCUUUGUUUAAGGUGCUUUUCUGUCUAUCUUAAGUGAACUUUUACUUGAGCAGUUUUUUUUUUUCCCUGGGUUUGAGCAAAUGAUGAAUCAAUACUUAGGCCGAGAAUCUUAGCUCUGUGCUUAUGAAAUAUACAUGGUUUUUUUGUUUCACCUAAGGGAUUGUGUCAAUUUCCCUCUCAUAGCAACUGGGAAUUGUGGCAAGUUCUCUCUUUAGAAAUGCAAAUUUGUUGCCUAGUUAACAAUUGCUUAGGGAAAUGAAACAGGUAAUAGAAAGAUUGAUACACCAAAUGGAGAAAAGAAAAAGUAUUUAAAAACUGGCAAAAGCUAUAGGAUCCGCUUCUGUUCGUUUGUAUGUCUAUAUAUGUUAUGUGUAUGUGGUAUCUGGUAAAUAAAGCUAGUUUUUAAUUCGUUCAUAAAAUAAAAAUGGCUUCAAAACUAUCAGUUAAAUAUAAUUAGAUACUCGCUUGAUUUGAUUGUGAGCUUAUGUCUUUGGUUUAGAGUCUCUGGAUUCAGGGGUCUGGAUAGGUGGCCAAGAUGACAUCUGGAGACGCAUUCUUGGUGCCUAGACCACCAGCUACAAGCCCAAUAUGGCCCCUUCUUCCUCUGCUUUCCCUGUUUUGACUCCUGGCUAUUGUGGGAGGGGUUGGAUUCUCCAAGUAUAGCCUUCACAGCUCUGGCUUCUGUUCUGAUGGACUCAGAGAGGCCCUGAUCUUCAUAGUCCUCAUGGGUGGCACAUGGCUUCUUGGGACCUAGAAUGGCUGGGAGGAGACAUUAGGGAGGCUGCCUAUGUCAUAGC
rnacentral:lncRNA from 1 species